GAUGAACGCUGGCGGCGUGCCUAAUACAUGCAAGUCGAGCGAACAGACGAGGAGCUUGCUCCUCUGACGUUAGCGGCGGACGUGUGAGUAACACGUGGAUAACCUACCUAUAAGACUGGGAUAACUUCGGGAAACCGGAUCUAAUACCGGAUAAUAUAUUGAACCGCAUGGUUCAAUAGUUAAAUACGGUUUUUCUGUCACUUAUAGAUGGAUCCGCGCCGCAUUAGCUAGUUGGUAAGGUAACGGCUUACCAAGGCGACGAUGCGUAGCCGACCUGAGAGGGGGAUCGGACAAACUGGAACUGAGACACGGUCCAGACUCCUACGGGAGGCAGCAGUAGGGAAUAUUCCGCAAUGGGCGAAAGCAUGACGGAGCAACGCCGCGUGAGUGAUGAAGGUCUUCGGAUCGUAAAACACUGUUAUUAGGGAAGAACAAAUGUGUAAGUAAAUAUGCACGUAAUGACGGUACCUAAUCAGAAAGCCACGGCUAACUACGUG
rnacentral:rRNA from 1 species